AUGUAUGUGUCUGUAUGUGUGUGUCUCUGUAUGUAUGUGUGUGUCUCGGUAUGUGUCUGUAUCAUACAGACACAUACAUACAGAGACGCACAUACAUACAGACUG